rnacentral:rRNA from 1 species
GACGAACGCUGGCGGUGCGCUUAACACAUGCAAGUGGAGCGACGAACCGGGGCUUGCCCCGGGGCAGAGCCGCGAACGGGUGAGUAACACGUGGGUAACCUACCCCGAUGACCGGGACAACCCGAGGAAACUCGAGCUAAUACCGGAUGUGCUCCUUGAUCUUGAGGUCAAGGCGUAAAGAUAGCUUCGGCCUUCGCAUCGGGACGGGCCCGCGGCCCAUUAGCUUGUUGGUGGGGUAACGGCUCACCAAGGCGACGAUGGGUAGCUGGUCUGAGAGGACGAUCAGCCACACUGGGACUGAGACACGGCCCAGACUCCUACGGGAGGCAGCAGUGGGGAAUCUUGCGCAAUGCGCGAAAAGCGUGACGCAGCAACGCCGCGUGGGG